AGCUAGGCGCGUCUGUGAUUAAAGUGUCCGUUAACGCGAGUUAAUUGAUCUUUCAGUUAAUGCGAUACUGCCCUCUCAUUGCAUUUCUGGUUUCCCUAUCGACGAGAUCCCCGCUCGGCGAGAGUAAAUCGCACGCGUUCCCGUCCCCGCAAUCUACUCGCGCGUCCGCUGAAAGUCGUUUCCCUUUCGAUUAGCGUCUCGCCUUCCCGGUCGUUUGAUGAACACGGAUCAAACGAGCCGUCCAUCCGAGCCUCGACGUUCUUUCACGAUCAGGAUAAUUACGGUGAUCUCGUUGCGAAGGAUAUCCCCCUUCGCGCACCAACGGUUCGUCCGCGCGCCAAACAGAACGGCAAGAAGACGAGCAAAAGAGGGGGAGGAGAGAACUGGAGCUCGUGGCCAGGUCGAACAAAACACUCUCACGUACAGCAACUGUCACUGCCACCGGGGCAGCCGGGUGUCUCGUCCCGUGGGACCGGCGAGACGAACACCUUGCGCCCGAUCCUGAUCCGAUGCGACGUCGCGAUGACGAUUAUCAUCGAUCAUCGAUCGGUUCGACUCGUUUCCCUCUCUUUCGUUUUAUCUCGAUACCUAGAGAUCACACUGUGCGUACUAUAUCACGGUAUUCGAAACUGUCCGUCACUUGUCUCCUUCGAAGUCACUCUUAGGUAUCAACUGCGGUCACACACAAUAAUAAAGGGAUCCAAGAAAAGUCGAAGUUCGACGUUGACAUACACGAUGUAGAAACUUUCGUAUACGAUACCAUGAAUCGAUGGUAUCCACCUGACGGAUUCGUUGGACUCGUUCCUCGGCUGAGUCGUUCGGGUGUCACUCGGACGAUUCGUUCGCACCGACUACGCGGUCGUUAGGUAAUCCCGGGCCUGAAAGCACUGCUUGCUACCACUCCGGCACGCACCGUUCUCCGCCGAGCGUCGAAGAACUAAUAAAAGCUGGGACCCAGGUUGAAACUGCGUAGGCCGCUUACUACUCCUUCCACCGCGGCUUCGUCCUAUCCCACCGACGUACCGGACCGGGCCCCGAGACAGAGACAGGCAGGAGAGAAGGCACCAACGGACGAACGGACGGACGUACGGACAGACGAACGCGCCACGGAUGCACGGACGGACGAAUGGACGAACGGACUGUAAGAAGCAACGGACAUGCGGACUUUAACAGGUAUACAUACGUCGCGGAGCAACCUGGUAGGUUACCGGCCGGCGCUGAUGCUGCUAUUACUGCUCGCUGCUCCUGCUGCACGUUGUUGCUUGCUUCUGCGGCUGGUGAACGUCACUCGGUCAAGGUC
rnacentral:misc_RNA from 1 species